rnacentral:lncRNA from 1 species
UCUGAAUCUCUUGCACUUGAUUUUUUCUUAAGAUACAUUUGGAUUCAAAUCUUUAUUCAUAAAUUCAAAUACCCCCACUGGGCCAGGGAUCUAACAGCUAGGACAAAACCAAAUCCAGAUAUUUUCUAGGUGUUUGGCAUCCAGAUUAAAGACGUUGCAAAAUUCAUGUAUGUUGAGAUGGUUCCGCACCAGAAUUUUAAGUUACACUAAAUCAACUUAGAAAUUGUACCCAAAGAUCACUGUUACGCUAACUUGAAAUCAAGUUUAAAUUGACUGUAACUAGAAAUUCAUGUGCUUCCAUCUUAACACCAGAAUUUUGUUUUCUUUCCUCCUGCUCCAUGCUUGCUAAUUAGGAAGGAGCAUGAGGAAAGAAAUGAGAGUAGAAAAAUUUGGGCGUGGCUAGUAGAGCCGAAUUCCUUUCCUGGGCGUGCUUUCCUGCACGACGCUUACGCUAGCAUCAUCUCUUCCUUCUUUGAGAUCUUUGCAACCAGAUCCCUUGCAAUCGUGUGUCACCAUGCUCAUGUGUUUGGAGAUCGCGCAGGGGAUGAAUGGAUGAUGUACCUCGGGGAGCAGGGGGAGGCAGCUCCUCCGGUGGAAGCCGGGGCCACUUCGUCCAGCCUCUUCUUCCUCGUGUUGAUUGCCGGCAGCCAUCCGGCUCGGUCCGUUUGCUUCAGCUUGCCCGUGAGGUAGACAACGUCCCCGUCAUGGAUGCUCAAGGCUGGGGCGCCUGCGACGUGGUUCUUGGUCAGUGUCGUCACCGCUUCUGAUCCAGAACCGCCACCAUUAUAGGUCCUCAGCUCAGGUGGCAGCAGGUCGAGAUGCCCCAGGUUGUCGAUCACGAUGUCGUCGGCGCAGGCGUCGCAGUCCUUGAUCCAAUGGUCCGAGUUGUGGAGCUCCCUGCUCCACGUGACGACCCUCCAGCCAUCGUUCGUUCCGAGAGCCAAAAGUUUAUUUAUGAAAAAAUUUCUUGCUGUUCCCUGCCAUAUACGGAGUACAAGUU